rnacentral:rRNA from 1 species
GACGAACGCUGGCGGCGUGCCUAACACAUGCAAGUCGAGCGGAGUCAGUAAGAGGAAGUUUUCGGAUGGAAUCUUAUCGAUUUAGCGGCGGACGGGUGAGUAACGCGUGAGCGACCAACCUUGCACAGGGGGAUAACGGACCGAAAGGUUCACUAAUACCGCAUGAGACCACGGUGUUGCAUGACACAGAGGUCAAAGGAGCAAUCCGGUGCAAGACGGGCUCGCGUCCGAUUAGGUAGUUGGAGGGGUAACGGCCCACCAAGCCUAUGAUCGGUAGCCGACCUGAGAGGGUGAUCGGCCACAUUGGAACUGAGAUACGGUCCAAACUCCUACGGGAGGCAGCAGUGGGGAAUAUUGGGCAAUGGGGGAAACCCUGACCCAGCAACGCCGCGUGAAGGAAGAAGGUUUUCGGAUUGUAAACUUCUGUCCUUGGUGAAGAGAGGAAGACGGUAGCCAAGGAGGAAGCCCCGGCUAACUACGUGCCAGCCGCCGCGGUAAAAC